rnacentral:rRNA from 1 species
UACGUAGGGUGCGAGCGUUAAUCGGAAUUACUGGGCGUAAAGCGUGCGCAGGCGGUUCGUUGUGUCGGCGGUGAAAGCCCCGGGCUUAACCUGGGAAUGGCCGUCGAAACUGGCGAACUGGAGUGUGGCAGAGGGGGGUGGAAUGUGACAAGUAGCGGUGAAAUGCAUAGAUAUGUCACAGAACACCAAUUGCGAAGGCAGCUUACUAUGGUAUGAUUGACACUGAGGCACGAAAGCGUGGGGAUCAAACAGG